rnacentral:rRNA from 1 species
UACGAGGGGUGCAAGCGUUAUUCGGAUUUAUUGGGCGUAAAGGGUGCGUAGGUGGUAUGUUAAGUCUGUUGUUAAAUUUUCCGGCCUAACCGGAAACGUGCAAUGGAAACUGGCGUACUUGAGGAUGGAAGAGGGAAGUGGAAUUCUCGGAGUAGCGGUAAAAUGCGUGGAUCUCGAGAGGAACACCGAUGGCGAAGGCAGCUUCCUGGUCCAUAUCUGACACUGAGGCACGAAAGCGUGGGGAGCAAACAGG